UAGGGAAUCUUCGGCAAUGGGGGCAACCCUGACCGAGCAACGCCGCGUGAGUGAAGAAGGUUUUCGGAUCGUAAAGCUCUGUUGUAAGAGAAGAGCGAGUGUGAGAGUGGAAAGUUCACACUGUGACGGUAACUUACCAGAAAGGGACGGCUAACUACGUGCCAGCAGCCGCGGUAAUACGUAGGUCCCGAGCGUUAUCCGGAUUUAUUGGGCGUAAAGCGAGCGCAGGCGGUUAGAUAAGUCUGAAGUUAAAGGCUGUGGCUUAACCAUAGUACGCUUUGGAAACUGUUUAACUUGAGUGCAGAAGGGGAGAGUGGAAUUCCAUGUGUAGCGGUGAAAUGCGUAGAUAUAUGGAGGAACACCGGUGGCGAAAGCGGCUCUCUGGUCUGUAACUGACGCUGAGGCUCGAAAGCGUGGGGAGCAAACAGGAUUAGAUACCCUGGUAGUCCACGCCGUAAACGAUGAGUGCUAGGUGUUGGGUCCUUUCCGGGACUCAGUGCCGCAGCUAACGCAUUAAGCACUCCGCCUGGGGAGUACGACCGCAAGGUUG
rnacentral:rRNA from 1 species